rnacentral:misc_RNA from 1 species
AUCUAUCAACCCAACAUAGGUUUAAUCUUGUGAUUGGUGCUUGGAUAAUGAAGGUUGCUGGAAUCAAUAUCAGCUCCUUUAAAAUGCAUUAGCAGAACUUUGUAUCAGCUUUGGUUUGAUAAUAUUUUAUCCGUGCUGUUGCUGGUAAACAUGGUUCAGCUUCAAAUUGUCUUACUUGUGAGACUGUCCAAUUUCUGGGCAUUACUUUGAC